CAGAGACACUCAGCCCAAAUCCCCACACCAUGGAGUGGACAUGGAGGCUCCUUUUCCUGCUGGCAGCUGCCACAGGUUCCUUCUCCCAGGUGCAGCUGGUACAAUCUGGACCUGAGCUAAAGAAGCCUGGAGAGGUCGUGAGGGUCUCCUGCAAGGCUUCUGGAUACACUUUUACUAGCUAUCCUAUGCACUGGAUAAGGCAGGAGCCAAGAAGUGGCCUGCAGUGGAUGGGAUGGAUCAACACUAACAAUGGAAAUCCAACAUAUGCUGAGGGCUUCAAAGGACGGGCUGUCUUCUCCCUGGACGCCUCUGUCAGCACAGCAUAUCUGCAGAUGAGCAGCCUGAAGGUCGAGGACACGGCUGUGUAUUAUUGUGCAAGGCACAGUGUGGAAACCACAUCCGGAAGGUGUCAGAAACUCUUACAGAGAAGCUGGUUCUGCUGCACUAGACAGGAGUGCUAG